CAUGCUCCAAAAAACCAGCUUCUCUCCUGAGAAGAGGCAGACAUCACAGGGAACGUCCUCCACCAUUACAGAACCAGUUGUCAGGUGCUGGGCAUCACUGUUACGAACAAGGUAAAUUCUAAAUAAUCUGCCCUCAGCUCUUGCCUUUUCUAUACACAAGUUGCUUGUUUAAAUUGCACAGAGCUUGAUUGCCUUGCUACAUCAAGCAGGAGUCCUGGCUGCUCCGGUGUAAGUGGACCUGGAUUUCUUUCAUGAACCUGGGUUUUCUCUUCUUCUGAGGUGGGUGCAGAGCCAGGGUCCUCUGCCUUCUGGGGUCUGUGGACAUCUCUCUCCUCUCCUGAGGCUAGAUUUCAUUCUUGAUCUUUAUCUUCUGGACUCUGGUUCUUCUCUCAUUUUCUCAUUCACAUCCUCUUGUUUCUCCUUCUGGAUUAUGUAGGACAUGUACCUAAAAUUAACCUUCAUCCAGAAUGUCACAGAGAUUAGCUGUGCCAUUUUGGAGACCAGAGACUCCCAGGAGUUCAAAUUCUCUUACAAACUGGAGCUCCUUGGCUACGUACUGGUGAGUAAUUAGGAGCUUUGAGGACUGAAGUACAAAGGGGUUGUUGUAAUGUAGUAAGACUGGUUUUUCAGGUAGAUGUUAUUUUAUCCAUUGGCUGUGACUGUACCACUGCAGUCUUAUGAGCUACCUGCAUGGCACCGGAAUGCUGCUGGGUCCUCUCUGAGCUUGGCAGGGAUGCCGACCUAUUGUGGGCUGUAACUGGAAGGAAUGGCUUGUGUCUGGACUUCAUUAAAAUGUAACCACUGGAUUCCCUGGCAUCACCAGUUUGCUACAAGGCAAUUCUUGCCAUUGGACAUCUGAGCAAACUCAAACCAUCUUUGACCUUGGAGGAAAACCCGUGAGCUCCUUGAUCAGUGUUUCAAAAGUUUAUUUCCCUUUCCUCCCUCGGAGAAGAUGAAAGAGGAAGGCAAGACAGCAAAGGAUGCUCUGCCUAUACAGACACUGUACGUAGAGUCCUUGGAAGCCCUUGACAAGCUAAUGAAGACUUUGCUGGAGGAAGAACCAACCGCACAUUGGUUCUGGGAAAUGUUUCAACUACUAGAGACAUGGUUCAGUUCAAGGAAGGAG